UAUGUAACAUGAAUCUGUAUGAUGAAUUCUUGCUCAUAUUGAAGACAUGAAAUUCCUGAGUAGGACAUGUACUUUGAGUUCAUGAUCCCUAAAAGCAAGUCAUGGAUAUGCUUAAGUUAUCUGAGUGCUUUCCCUGGAGACCAGUAGAAUGCUUUGCUUUUCUUGCCAAGAAGUUCCUUCUAUCACACCUCAAUUCCGUCGAACACAGCUUCAGCCAGCUUGGAAAUAGCCUUUCUGUUGGGACAUUUCCAAAUCCCAGGUUUAGAGGUUCUUCCAUCUGGCAGGUGUCAAAGAAGACAACAGGAACCAUGAGCAGAACCACUUGGAACUGCAAACUCUUUGGGCCAAGGACAGACUUCUUCUCCAGGUCUGGUUUGGUUUGCAAAUUCCUGGCUGUCAUAGCAACCUGAAAAGCAAAGGAAGACUGUUUAGUGUCGUCUUUGACUGCAGCCUGGGCUCGGAAUGCGCUCAGGUUGGCCCAGUAAACAGUGUUCACCGGUAACCACUCUGUGUCUCUCCCUCUGGGCCCAGGGAUGGGUGAGGCAGGGAGCUCACCAGGCUCAAGUCAUCUGGCCGCACAGCUUCUCACCCAGUGUCACUCAGCUCCCCUCUGCUGCUCUGUCUCCCAGUGGCUCUGCCAGAUCUAACAUGGGGAGGGAAUUUCCAGAAGAGGCCUAUUGGGAGAUGGAGUCAACUCCACAGUGGAAGCAAAUGCCUGCCACCCACAUGAAGAUGUGUGAAGAUGACUUGGGGAGGGGGAGCCGACAGCAUUUCCAUGGUAACCUCAAGCAUCCCUGUGAAGUCAUCAUUGUGCUCCUCUGACCUAUUCAAACCCUGGCAACCAGGGCUGUUUAUCUCUAGGGAUUGAGUUCAAGAUCUAAAAAUGUGAAAGACCUAAACUGAAAUGAAUAAGCACCUCACUUGCUAAGAAGAAUUCCUGAUUAUGCACAGUGAUUGCCGAGAAAUCAUUGUUGGGCCAAAUUUCAAAAGUAAAAUUAUAAAAAAUACUGCAGUAUUUUUAUAGUUAAAAAAAGGGAUUGGGUGUAUUUUAAUAUGCUUAAUAUGAUGUGUGG